UCCUUAGAUGUUCUGGGCUGCACGCGCGCUACACUGGUGCGUUCAGCGAGUUUAGCACCUUAACAGAUAUGUUUGGGUAAUCUUCUGAAAACGCACCGUGAUGGGGAUCGAUUAUUGUAAUUAUUAAUCGUCAACGAGGAAUUCCUAGUAAGUGUGAAUCAUCAGUUCGCGCUGAUUACGUCCCUGCCCUUUGUACACACCGCCCGUCGCUGCUACCGAUUGAGUGGUCCGGUGAAUUAUUCGGACCGGUGGACUGUGGGGAAACCCGCGGCCUGCUGGGAAGUCUUGUGAACCUUAUCACUUAGAGGAAGCAGAAGUCGUAACA
rnacentral:rRNA from 1 species